UGUGGGAUGACGGAUCUAGGUUUGUAAACCACUUUCAGGAGGGAAGAAAAUGACGGUACCUCCACAAGAAGCCCCGGCCAACUACGUGCCAGCAGCCGCGGUAAUACGUAGGGGGCGAGCGUUGUCCGGAUUUAUUGGGCGUAAAGAGCUCGUAGGCGGUUCAACAAGUCGGUCGUGAAAGUUCAGGGCUCAACCCUGAAAUGUCGAUCGAUACUGUUGUGACUAGGAUACGGUAGAGGUGAGUGGAAUUCCGAGUGUAGCGGUGAAAUGCGUAGAUAUUCGGAGGAACACCAAUUGCGAAGGCAGCUCACUGGGCCGCUAUCGACGCUGAGGAGCGAAAGCUAGGGGAGCAAACAGGAUUAGAUACCCUGGUAGUCCUAGCUGUAAACGAUGGAUACUAGAUGUAGGAACUGGAUUGACGGUUUCUGUAUCGCAGCUAACGCGUUAAGUAUCCCGCCUGGGGAGUACGGUCGCAAGACUAAAACUCAAAGGAAUUGACGGGACCCCGCACAAGCGGCGGAGCAUGCGGCUUAAUUCGAUGAUACCCGUAGAACCUUACCUGGACUUGACAUAUAGGGUCAAGCUAUAGAGAUAUAGUGUGCAUUAGCGCCCUAUACAGGUGGUGCAUGGCUGUCGUCAGCUCGUGUCGUGAGAUGUUGGGUUAAGUCCCGCAACGAGCGCAACCCCUGUCCUAUGUUGCCAGCAUUUAGUUGGGGACUCAUAGGAGACUGCCGGUGAUAAACCGGAAGAAAGUGGGGACGACGUCAAGUCAUCAUGCCCCUUAUGUCCAGGGCUGCACGCAUGCUACAAUGGCAAGUACA
rnacentral:rRNA from 1 species